UAUUUAUUAUUUAUAAUAAUUUUAGCGCGGGUUUGAUGUAAUUGAAAAAGGCUGUUUGGUCUGUUUCCGCGGAUGAAUCAGACUAAAACAAUUUUUAAAAUCUCAUUUGGCGUCAUAUGAAUAUUUAAUCAAUGAUCUUCAUGAAACAUCCGUGUUAGAAGCUUUUUAAAAUCCUUCCAUUUGUAGCCCUGAACCAGUUUGUUGCCUAUUAUAUAACCAUGUAAACACAACGGUCCCAUACGGUUCCUUUUAAUAAUAGCCAGUGCAAAACAUUAUUGAUAUAUUACUGCAACAAUCGUUGCUUCGCAAACGAUGACGAAAAACACAAUGCUUUAGAGAUCCACUAUUUUUAGUGCAGUCUUUGUGCCAAAGUAGGGCAAAUUUUAUUGCGCUGCAGUAUGUUUUAUCAGUGGAACCCUUUGUUUAAUGCACACACAUGGGAUACUCACACAUGCAUAGCUAAAAAUCUGUAAAUAUAUUUGAAAAUCCAACGCUUCGAGCAGAAGUAGUUUAUUAAUUCUGGAAACUUGACAGGUGAUCGUUUGUGUUUUUUUCAUAUAAAAGAGCAGACUGCUAGUGUAUUUGUGAUAUCAGAAGAUUAAAGCUUCAGCUAUGGCAGAGAAAUCAGCUGGAACAGGAAACAGCCAGAAUACUGGAAAUGAGAAGAACACGGAUGGCCAGAGUGGCGAGGACCCUAAAACAGCAGCCCAAAACACUGGCACUCCUGCCAAUGCUAAAAAACACAAGAAGAAGAAAAAGAUAAUCAGCAGAAAGGGGUAAAAAGCAAUGAGGAAACAUCUAAACAAGGGACCACAGAACUACUGUGACCUCCGCCCGGCUCAAACCAGUGUUUCACCGGCGAGCUGAGAGAAACACACCACCCACGAACAAAAGAGAUGAAUCUCAAGAGACACACACUCUGCAAGGGCCCCGGGAGACAAAUGAACACACAAACACUGAUGGAGACACAAAAUCUUUUGUUUUCACUAAAACACAUGAAGAGUUUUGCUAUAACUUCAAGGUAUGACUCGACACGGUAACAUCAACCAGCAGGAUCUUAAAUAGAUGUGUGGUCAAAUAUUACGUACUUCUAUUGCACAGUUUUGCGAUACAUACAUUCUCUUUGCAUUUUAAUAAGCAUACAAUAUUGCUAGAUUUCACUUUUUGUAAUGUUCAAAGUGUUGGAAUCAUAGAAAACACUUACAGGAAAAAAAUCCAAAUAAAGGGAA